rnacentral:rRNA from 1 species
AGUGAACGCUGGCGGUAUGCCUAACACAUGCAAGUCGAACGGCAACACAGUAACAGCUUGCUCUUACUGGUGGCCAGUGGCGUACGUGUGGGGAAUACAUCGGGAUCUGCUUUUUCGUGGGGGAUAACGUAGGGAAACUUACGCUAAUACCUCAUACGACAUACGGGUGAAAGCAGGGGAUCGUCGGACCUGCCUCGAUUGAAUGAGCCGAUGUCGGAUUUGCUAGUUGGCGGGGUAAAGGCCCACCAAGGCGACGAUCCGUAGCUGGUCUGAGAGGAUGACCAGCCACACUGGAACUGAGAAACGGCCCAGACUCCUACGGGAGGCAGCAGUGGGGAAUAUUGGACAAUGGGCGAAAGCCUGAUCCAGCAAUACCGCGUGGGUGAAGAAGGCCUUCGGGUUGUAAAGUCCUUUUGUUGGGAAAGAAAAGCAGCAGGUUAAUACCCCGCUGUUCUGACGGUACCCAAAGAAUAAGCACCGGCUAACUUCGUG